AUUGAACGCUGGCGGCAGGCCUAACACAUGCAAGUCGAAAGAGUGGCGGACGGGUGAGUAAUGUCUGGGAAACUGACCGAUGGAGGGGGAUAAUUACAGGAAACGGUAGCUAAUACCGCAUACCAUCGGAUGUGCCCAUAUGGGAUUGGCUAGUCGGUGGGGGAACGGCUCACCUAGGCGACGACCCCUAGCUGGACUGAGAGGAUGACCAGCCACACUGAAACGGAGACACGGUCCAGACUCCUACGGAAGGCAGCAGUGGGGAAUAUUGCACAAUGGGCGCAGGCCUGAUGCAGCCAUGCCGCGUGUAUGAAGAAGGCCUUCGGGUUGUAAAGUACUUUCAGCGAGGAGGCGUUACUCGCAGAAGAAGCACCGGCUAACUCCGUGCCAGCAGCCGCGGUAAUAC
rnacentral:rRNA from 1 species